rnacentral:rRNA from 1 species
UACAGAGGUCUCAAGCGUUGUUCGGAAUUACUGGGCGUAAAGGGUGCGCAGGCCGCGCGGGCAGUCAAAUGUGUAAUUCAGGGGCUCAACCCCUGGACUGCGCUUGAUACUUCCGCGCUUGAACCUUGGAGAGGAGUCUGGAAUUCUCGGUGUAGCAGUGAAAUGCGUGGAUAUCGAGAAGAACACUAAGGGCGAAGGCAAGACUCUAGACAAGUGUUGACGCUCAUGCACGAAGGCUAGGGUAGCGAAUGGG